AUGACACAAUUGCCUUUCCACACUGUCAUUUCUCUAAUUCAACUUCCUGUGUCUCUCCUAGCAAGGUCACCAGCUGAACUCAUUGGUGUUGACACCCCGGAUGAUAGCGUAUUGUCCCCAGUGACACAUCCACAAGGCCGGGCGGUUUUACUCUCCACCUGCCCUGUGGGGGUGACAGAUCCUCAUGGGAAAUCUGACGGAGGUGUGUUUUGCAGCACCUCAGAUGUACAGCACACCUGAAGAAGGCGCUGGAGGGGAGUCUGCAUCCUUCAGCUGAACACACGGCAGCUGUGCUGAGGGAAGGUGAGGAAAGACUGUGCUAAUUUGAGGGCUGUUAGUUUGCAGACAGACAGUGCUGACAAGUGCAUGAGUGAAUCUGAUGUCUUGCUAAUGAUGAGCAUGAUCUUUCAAUACCACAAUACCAGUCAAAAAUUGGGACACACUUGGCUGAAUUUGUUUCUCAUAAAGUCUGUAAUUAGUUUUGCCGAAUAUAUGAAAUAUAUUAUAAAAUAUGUUAUUAACUGUACAAAUUUCUUUAGAAAAAC
rnacentral:lncRNA from 12 species